CAAAGUUCUCAACGUUCCCACCAAAACUGAUCUAACUUAACUAGCCAACUGCUCAAUUCGGAGAACAAAAGCAGACUACCAUUUCAGGUUUCCCAUUUUCCACAAAGAACAUGUCAUCUGCAUUUUCUCUAUCUAUUUCCCACAUUCUCAUCUGCAAAUCCCAGGAACUUUCAAAGGAUGCCCACAUCCCCAAAAUUGCUUACAGAGACAACGGUCUCACAAAACAUCCCUGGAUGUCAAACUGAGUAAAAGAAAACUACUAAAUGCCAUUGCCUUAGGUCUUGUAAGUGAAGGGAUCUCAGGCUGAGCCAGAGAGUCCAAUAGCAUCAACUUCAAGUAGAAUGUCAUAUUCAAGAUUCUUGCAGUACUUAGAUGAAGGCGCUGUGAGGAAAGUAGACCUGUUUGAGAAUGGAACCGUAGCCAUCGCUGAGAUUUUCAAUCCAACACUUGACUAGAUCCAGAGAUUGAAAAUACAAUUACCAGGAUUGCCGCAAGAGCUCUUGAGGAAACUGAAGGAGAAAAAUGUAGAUUUUGCUGCUCAUCCAAUGGAAGUCAACUGGGCUGCUGCUUUGCUUGACUUGUUGGGGAACUUGGCCCUUCUAUUGAUUUUGCUUGGCACUUUGUUGUUAAGGACAUCAGCUACAAACACUCCUGGAGGCCCCAACUUACCAUUCGGGCUUGGAAGAAGCAAGGCCAAAUUCCAAAUGGAACCUAACACUGGAGUAACAUUUGAUGAUGUUGCUGGAAUUGAUGAAGCAAAGCAAGAUUUUCAAGAAAUUGUUGAAUUCUUGAAAACACCAGAUAAGUUUGCUAAAGUAGGGGCAAGAAUUCCUAAAGGAGUUCUGUUAGUAGGACCUCCUGGGACUGGCAAGACUUUACUAGCUAAAGCAAUAGCUGGAGAAGCAGGAGUUCCUUUCUUUUCACUCUCAGGAUCAGAGUUUAUUGAAAUGUUUGUUGGUGUAGGGGCUUCAAGAGUGAGGGAUUUAUUCAACAAGGCAAAGGCAAACUCGCCAUGCUUGGUUUUUAUCGACGAGAUAGAUGCUGUUGGUAGGCAGAGAGGGACAGGCAUCGGUGGAGGAAAUGAUGAGAGGGAACAAACAUUAAACCAGUUACUUACUGUAAUGGAUGGUUUUAGUGGUAAUAGUGGAGUUAUUGUUAUUCUUGAUUCUGCUUUGCUUAGGCCAGGAAGAUUUGACAGGCAGGUAAGCUCUUGUUCUCUUACACUUACUCUGCAAAUUUACAAUGUUGAUUUUAAGCAAAUGGGAUUUUAAUAUGAUCAAAAUGGUGAAGGAGACUGAUUUUAGUUCUUGAAUUGUAAGUCAUGGAAUAUUUGUGCUACUUUGAUUAGGUUACUGUUGGGCUACCAGAUAUUAGGGGAAGGGAAGAGAUAUUAAAGGUGCAUAGCAAAAGCAAGAAGCUUGACAAGGAUGUUUCUUUUAGUGUUAUUGCCACGAGGACAGCAGGAUUCAGUGGUGCAGACUUGGCAAACCUAAUGAAUGAGGCAGCCAUUCUUGCUGGUAGGAGAGGCAAAGAAGAGAUCACCCUGAAAGAAACUGAUGAUUCAAUUGAUCGAAUUGUGGCAGGCAUGGAAGGAACCAAGAUGACAGAUGGAAAAAGCAAAAUCCUGGUGGCUUAUCAUGAAAUUGGGCAUGCCAAUUUCGCGUAGGUUCAUCAAAACACCUUCCUUUAUAUCUUAAACAUGCUUAAAUCUUCUCUUUUUAGAUCAGUCAAUCUUAAUAGACCUUUAAACUUUCUCGUUUACAGGACACUGACUCCAGGUCAUGAUCCAGUUCAGAAAGUGACUCUAAUCCCACGAGGCCAGGCCCGAGGACUAACAUGGUUUAUACCAGGUGAAGGUCCAGCUCUCAUCUCCAAGCAACAGUUAUUUGCUCGGAUAGUUGGAGGACUUGGGGGUAGAGCAGCAGAGGAAGUGAUUUUUUGUGAAUCAGAAAUCACUACUGGUGCUGCAGGGGACCUGCAACAAUCACUCAAAUUGCUAGACAGGUAUAUGCAUUUUACAAUAAAAUAAAGAUCUUAAAACAAGGAAAAUAUGCUUCUAUCUUCAACUUAUACUAAAAAAAUCUUGUUUCCUUACAGAUGGUUACAAUGUUUGGCAUGUCCGAGAUCGGGCCAGGGGCACCGACAGAUCCAGCAGUACAAAGCAGUGAUGUUGUACUAAGGAUGCUGGCUAGAAAUUCUAUGUCCGAAAAACUUGCAGAGGAUAUGGAUUCAUCGGUUCGAAACAUAAUUGAAAGAGCAUAUGAGAUUGCAAAGGAACAUGUAAGGAAUAAUCGAGAGGCCAUUGAUAAACUAGUGGAGGUGCUACUGGAGAGAGAAACCCUUUCUGGGGAUGAGUUCAGGGCAAUCCUGUCAGAAUUUACUGAUACUUCCAUAGACAAAGUAUAUAGGAUUUCUGUACUUGAAAUGAUCAAAGCCUAGAACCCAUUUAGAUUGUCAUACUGUAACUAACAAUUACAAUAAGUAAAGCAAUAGAAAAU
rnacentral:misc_RNA from 1 species